GAUUCAAAAUGCCUUAAGGAUAAGAGAGCAUAAACUUUGAGUAUCUUCAUAACAUUACAUAAGUUCUUUCACUUUCCCCAUUCUUUACUUUUGGUGAUUCUUUUUGACACAAUUUCUAUUCAUUUCCUUUUCUUUUGAAACACAUUUUCUUUGAUUUUCAAUUGUGUGUCAAAUGACUUACAAUGUUUUUCUUUUUCAAUCACCAUCUUCAACAACUCAUAUUUUUCAACUACUUUUUUUUCUUUUCAAACAAAUAACCUCUUUCUCCCCAACUUGUUUUCAACCCUACUUAAACUCAAUGCUCAAUCAUCCUAAGACAAGGGUCAAGUCAUUGUUUUUCUUUAUUGUGGUUCAAGGGUUCAAAACAAACAAAUUUUCAAAUUUUUUUGGCUUAAGGGGGUAGCAAAGGAUCACACUAACUCACAAGGUAGGUUAUUUUGGCUUAAGUAGUUACCACUCAAAAAGAAACAAGGCCUUGAUCAUAUCCAUGACUUCAAACACNNNNNNNNNNNNNNNNNNNNNNNNNNNNNNNNNNNNNNNNNNNNNNNNNNNACAGAGUUAAACACAAUUGUCGGCUCUCAAAUAUAUAAACAAUGGAAGGUUCACACAAUCUCACCCGGCUAGGUCUACGUGAUUCAUAAUCAAUUAAUCAUGUUAAGAAGGAACGGAUGAAAUCAAAUUGAAUAAAGCUACUUGGUUCAAAUUCAUCCUAACAUUCAAAGAUAAUCACAAAGAUUUGACCUCAACUAAAGCAAUUGAAAAAUUAUUCUAAUCAUGCAUUUGAAUUUGGUUAAUCACAAACCUAAGCUUUUCAAUUCAUAUGCACAUGAUAUUCAAAAAUCAAAAAAUUGAACCAUUUUUUUUUUAACCAUCAAACAUGUUCAGACCACAAGAGAAACAUAUACUAAGAUAUUCACAAAAAACAUAAAUUUGACCGAAAGCUAUUAAAAUAAAGUUCACAGAGUUUUGGAGAGCUUUUCAGUCAAUCUUUCUCUUGUCAGUUGUCUGGAUCUUCUUCACUUCCAUGUAUCACUUCCUUGCUACUAACAACAGCUUAUCUCACCUCCUCCUGGUAAAAUGGCCUUUCCAUAGGCCAUGCUAUAUAUGUGCAGCAAAUACGUACCUCCCUGGUUACCACAUCUUAAAAAAAAAUUAUCAGAGCAAUUAAGAUUCACAUAACAUAUGAAUGCAAAAUGGUUUGUCAUUUUUAAAUCUCAAAAUAGCAACAUAUAUUAAUAACCACCAGCACAAUAGUCAAGUAACAAAGCCAGGAAGAUGCAUCAUAACCAGCGCAAUACCAACACCAAGUUUCAUAUGACAGUAAAAUUAAAUC
rnacentral:lncRNA from 1 species